rnacentral:rRNA from 1 species
AGAGUUUGAUCAUGGCUCAGAUUGAACGCUGGCGGCAGGCCUAACACAUGCAAGUCGAGCGGUAGCACAGAGAGCUUGCUCUCGGGUGACGAGCGGCGGACGGGUGAGUAAUGUCUGGGAAACUGCCUGAUGGAGGGGGAUAACUACUGGAAACGGUAGCUAAUACCGCAUAAUGUCGCAAGACCAAAGUGGGGGACCUUCGGGCCUCAUGCCAUCAGAUGUGCCCAGAUGGGAUUAGCUAGUAGGUGGGGUAACGGCUCACCUAGGCGACGAUCCCUAGCUGGUCUGAGAGGAUGACCAGCCACACUGGAACUGAGACACGGUCCAGACUCCUACGGGAGGCAGCAGUGGGGAAUAUUGCACAAUGGGCGCAAGCCUGAUGCAGCCAUGCCGCGUGUGUGAAGAAGGCCUUCGGGUUGUAAAGCACUUUCAGCGGGGAGGAAGGCGGUGAGGUUAAUAACCUCAUCGAUUGACGUUACCCGCAGAAGAAGCACCGGCUAACUCCGUGCCAGCAGCCGCGGUAAUACGGAAGGUGCAAGCGUUAAUCGGAAUUACUGGGCGUAAAGCGCACGCAGGCGGUCUGUCAAGUCGGAUGUGAAAUCCCCGGGCUCAACCUGGGAACUGCAUUCGAAACUGGCAGGCUAGAGUCUUGUAGAGGGGGGUAGAAUUCCAGGUGUAGCGGUGAAAUGCGUAGAGAUCUGGAGGAAUACCGGUGGCGAAGGCGGCCCCCUGGACAAAGACUGACGCUCAGGUGCGAAAGCGUGGGGAGCAAACAGGAUUAGAUACCCUGGUAGUCCACGCCGUAAACGAUGUCGAUUUGGAGGUUGUGCCCUUGAGGCGUGGCUUCCGGAGCUAACGCGUUAAAUCGACCGCCUGGGGAGUACGGCCGCAAGGUUAAAACUCAAAUGAAUUGACGGGGGCCCGCACAAGCGGUGGAGCAUGUGGUUUAAUUCGAUGCAACGCGAAGAACCUUACCUGGUCUUGACAUCCACAGAACUUUCCAGAGAUGGAUUGGUGCCUUCGGGAACUGUGAGACAGGUGCUGCAUGGCUGUCGUCAGCUCGUGUUGUGAAAUGUUGGGUUAAGUCCCGCAACGAGCGCAACCCUUAUCCUUUGUUGCCAGCGGUCCGGCCGGGAACUCAAAGGAGACUGCCAGUGAUAAACUGGAGGAAGGUGGGGAUGACGUCAAGUCAUCAUGGCCCUUACGACCAGGGCUACACACGUGCUACAAUGGCAUAUACAAAGAGAAGCGACCUCGCGAGAGCAAGCGGACCUCAUAAAGUAUGUCGUAGUCCGGAUUGGAGUCUGCAACUCGACUCCAUGAAGUCGGAAUCGCUAGUAAUCGUAGAUCAGAAUGCUACGGUGAAUACGUUCCCGGGCCUUGUACACACCGCCCGUCACACCAUGGGAGUGGGUUGCAAAAGAAGUAGGUAGCUUAACCUUCGGGAGGGCGCUUACCACUUUGUGAUUCAUGACUGGGGUGAAGUCGUAACAAGGUAACCGUAGGGGAACCUGCGGUUGGAUCACCU